rnacentral:rRNA from 1 species
UACGUAGGGUGCGAGCGUUUGUCCGGAAUUAUUGGGCGUAAAGAGCUCGUAGGCGGUCUGUCGCGUCGAUCGUGAAAACUUGGGGCUUAACCCUGAGCUUGCGGUCGAUACGGGCAUGACUGGAGUUCGGCAGGGGAGACUGGAAUUCCUGGUGUAGCGGUGAAAUGCGCAGAUAUCAGGAGGAACACCGGUGGCGAAGGCGGGUCUCUGGGCCGAUACUGACGUGAGGAGCGAAAGCGUGGGGAGCGAACAGGAUUAGACUACCUUG